rnacentral:lncRNA from 10 species
CCCUGCUGCCAUGCAAGAUGUGACUUUGCUUCUCAUUCGCCUUCCACCAUGAUUGUGAGGCCUCCCAAGCCAUGUGGAACUAUAAAGGAAACCUCUUUCCUUUAUAAACUACCCAGUUUCGGGCAUGCAGAGAAGCCUCUGUUCUCUCUGCCGCGCUGUGGCGUCUCACCUAGACACCUGGCCCCUGAAGCAGAGAUCUGUCUGCUGCCACCACAGCUCCUCUCUCCAGACUGUUCAGAUCUGGUCCCUGUAGGAUGGAAGUGCACACACUGUCUCUGCCUGUCCCCAGGGAGCAAGAUGUAAACUUCCUCCUUCAUCAUUCGGGCAAAAACUGAAUAAAUAGAUGAACACCAAAUUAUGGAAAUCUUCAUUAUGCAGGCCAGGUUGCCAAACAUGCCCAGACCUGCUUAAGCUGAGAAGUAAAGGCUGAUCAAGCUCACAUGUAAAAUCCUGGGUUAUAAGAAAAAUUCCAGCUGACUUGGAACACAGCCCCAACUCCUCCCACAUGACCAGCAAAGAGCUGGUCCAGGAAAAAUUCCACUUGUUUGGCCGGGUGUGGUGGCUCACGCCUGUAAUCCCAGCACUUUGGGAGGCUGAGGCAGGUGGAUCACGAGGUCAAGAGAUCAAGACCAUCCUGGCCAACAUGGUGAAACCCCGUCUCUAC